UACGAAGGGGGCUAGCGUUGCUCGGAAUCACUGGGCGUAAAGCGCACGUAGGCGGGUCUUAAGUCAGGGGUGAAAUCCUGGAGCUCAACUCCAGAACUGCCUUUGAUACUGAGGAUCUCGAGUCCGGGAGAGGUGAGUGGAACUCCGAGUGUAGAGGUGAAAUUCGUAGAUAUUCGGAAGAACACCAGUGGCGAAGGCGGCUCACUGGCCCGGUACUGGACGCUGAUGUGCGAAAGCGUGGGGAGCAAACAGG
rnacentral:rRNA from 1 species